GUCGGUAAAACUCGUGCCAGCCACCGCGGUUAUACGAGAGGCCCAAGUUGAUAGACUCCGGCGUAAAGAGUGGUUAAGACACAUCUACUAAAACUAAAGCCGAACGCCCUCAGGGCUGUUAUACGCUCCCGAAGGUAAGAAGUUCAAUCACGAAAGUGGCUUUAUAUCAGCUGAACCCACGAAAGCUAUGACACAAACUGGGAUUAGAUACCCCACUAUG
rnacentral:rRNA from 1 species